UUCUGGUAUUUUCGUAGAGCUUCUUUUCCAACUGUUUGCAUUUAUUCGCAAGGGCUAUCAGGUUCCUGUGCUAAGAGAACCAGCCUUACCAAGCCUUCUGGGCCCCCAAGGACAAUCAGUACCCCCAACUGGUCAUCCAGUGAGGGCCAGUCCAGUUCGCUCAGCAGGUGGCAGACCAGGCUGGGAACUAAGUUCAAAUCGAGGACGCCCGCACAGUGAACGUACCCAAAGGACUCAGGCCCCAACACUACCAGCGUCAACAC